UUAAUUGAAACCAAAAAGAGGUUUAUUACUGUUAAUGAUAUAAUUGAAAUUAAAAUUUCCAAUUAAA
rnacentral:tRNA from 1 species